UGUUCUUCAUGGUGGCGUCGUGGAUUCGGCGUGUUUGACGGCGGUUCGUGGAUUCAGAUUGUGGGCUCGUGGAUUCGAGUGGCGUUCGUGGAUUCGGACGUGUGCGAGGCGUUCGUGGAUUCGAACGUGAGGGCGUGGACAACCCAGAGGAUUGCGCGAGAUUCAUAGGAGGUUAAGAGAGGUUGAGUCCGUGGAGUCAGUAAUCACCUUGUAAUCUUUUCUCUUAGUGAAUUAUUUUUUCGCGUGUUGAUCUCGUGGGUUUU
rnacentral:lncRNA from 1 species